rnacentral:rRNA from 1 species
ACCAAAGAGGGGGAUCUUCGGACCUCUCGCGCUAAGAUUAGCCCAGGUGAGAUUAGCUAGUUGGUGAGGUAAGAGCUCACCAAGGCGACGAUCUCUAGCUGGUCUGAGAGGAUGAUCAGCCACACUGGAACUGAGACACGGUCCAGACUCCUACGGGAGGCAGCAGUGGGGAAUAUUGCACAAUGGGCGAAAGCCUGAUGCAGCCAUGCCGCGUGUAUGAAGAAGGCCUUCGGGUUGUAAAGUACUUUCAGUAGGGAGGAAGGUGUUGUCGUUAAUAGCGGCAGCAUUUGACGUUACCUACAGAAGAAGCACCGGCUAACUCCGUGCCAGCAGCCGCGGUAAUACGGAGGGUGCGAGCGUUAAUCGGAAUUACUGGGCGUAAAGCGCAUGCAGGUGGUUUGUUAAGUCAGAUGUGAAAGC